rnacentral:rRNA from 1 species
GGUGAAAAGCACCCCGGAAGGGGAGUGAAAUAGAACCUGAAACCGUGUGCUUACAAGUAGUCAGAGCCCGUUAAUGGGUGAUGGCGUGCCUUUUGUAGAAUGAACCGGCGAGUUACGAUUUGAUGCAAGGUUAAGCAGUAAAUGUGGAGCCGUAGCGAAAGCGAGUCUGAAUAGGGCGUUUAGUAUUUGGUCGUAGACCCGAAACCAGGUGAUCUACCCUUGGUCAGGUUGAAGUUCAGGUAACACUGAAUGGAGGACCGAACCGACUUACGUUGAAAAGUGAGCGGAUGAACUGAGGGUAGCGGAGAAAUUCCAAUCGAACCUGGAGAUAGCUGGUUCUCUCCGAAAUAGCUUUAGGGCUAGCCUCAAGUGAUGAUUAUUGGAGGUAGAGCACUGUUUGGACGAGGG